UACGAAGGGGGCUAGCGUUGUUCGGAAUCACUGGGCGUAAAGCGUGCGCAGGCGGCUUCUCAAGUCAGGGGUGAAAGCCCGGAGCUCAACUCUGGAAUUGCCUUUGAGACUGAGUGGCUUGAGUACGGGAGAGGUGAGUGGAAUUCCCAGUGUAGAGGUGAAAUUCGUAGAUAUUGGGAAGAACACCGGUGGCGAAGGCGGCUCACUGGCCCGUAACUGACGCUGAGGCACGAAAGCGUGGGGAGCAAACAGG
rnacentral:rRNA from 1 species